AUUGAACGCUAGCGGCAUGCCUUACACAUGCAAGUCGAACGGCAGGCACGGGGGCAACCCUGGUGGCGAGUGGCGAACGGGUGAGUAAUGCAUCGGAACGUGCCCAUCGAUGGGGGAUAACUGCGCGAAAGCGUUGCUAAUACCGCAUACGACCUACGGGUGAAAGCAGGGGACCGCAAGGCCUUGCGUCGAUGGAGCGGCCGAUGCCGGAUUAGCUAGUUGGUGAGGUAAAGGCUCACCAAGGCGACGAUCCGUAGCUGGUCUGAGAGGAUGAUCAGCCACAUUGGGACUGAGACACGGCCCAAACUCCUACGGGAGGCAGCAGUGGGGAAUCUUGGACAAUGGGCGAAAGCCUGAUCCAGCAAUGCCGCGUGUGGGAAGAAGGCCUUCGGGUUGUAAACCACUUUUGGCGGGAAAGAAAUGGUCUGUGCUAAUACCACGGAUUGAUGACGGUACCCGCAGAAUAAGCACCGGCUAACUACGUG
rnacentral:rRNA from 1 species